CGACGAAAAAGAUGAGCAUGCGUCCCAUUAGUUAGUUGGUAAGGUAACGGCUUACCAAGACAAUGAUGGGUAGGGGUCCUGAGAGGGAGAUCCCCCACACUGGUACUGAGACACGGACCAGACUCCUACGGGAGGCAGCAGUGAGGAAUAUUGGUCAAUGGGCGCAAGCCUGAACCAGCCAUGCCGCGUGCAGGAAGACGGUCCUAUGGAUUGUAAACUGCUUUUAUACAGGAAGAAACCCUCCCACGUGUGGGAGCUUGACGGUACUGUAGGAAUAAGGAUCGGCUAACUCCGUG
rnacentral:rRNA from 1 species